rnacentral:tRNA from 2 species
GGGCGCGUCGUCCAGCCCGGUUAGGACGCCGCUCUUACGAAGCGGUGGUCGCCGGUUCGAAUCCGGCCGCGCCCA